UACGAACUGUGCAAACGUUAUUCGGAAUCACUGGGCUUACAGGGUGCGUAGGCGGCCUGUUAAGUAGGGUGUGAAAGCCCCCGGCUCAACCGGGGAAUGGCGCCCUAAACUGGCGGGCUGGAGUGAGAUAGGGGUGUGCGGAACUUCCGGUGGAGCGGUGAAAUGUGUUGGUAUCGGAAGGAACGCCGGUGGCGAAAGCGGCACACUGGAUCUCAACUGACGCUGAGGCACGAAAGCCAGGGGAGCGAACGGG
rnacentral:rRNA from 1 species